CCUCUGGAACCUUCGCCCUGAAUUUCCGUACGAACCAGCCACUCUCUCGAGUACGAGGUCAAAUUUUUCGGUUGUUGGACUAACGAACCUUGGGAAAACUACGUCUACCGCUAUUGAUAUAUCGAAAUCACUCGAAUCUUUUCUUGGCUACUAAAUACGUUGAUUUCCUUUCUAACUCACGUUUCUUGUCAAUUCAUUCAUUUUUUUCUUGUCAAUUUACAUUAUUAGAUUCUGUUUUUUAAUAUAUUAAUUGUGACAAAAUUUGAUUAAUAUUGUCGUCACUUCUUUCUUCUCUUGGACUCUAUAAUUUUAUUUCUUGAACUUCUGCAAAGUACUUAUUAUCCUAAUAUAUUUUUCGUGUCUCGAUAAAACAAUAUGUAAGUUAUUUAUUUACAUUUUUCAAUAAUU